UCUUAUAGGUGAGCAAAGAAAGUGGUUUCUUGAGAUGGAAGCUACUCCUGGUGACGCUGCUGUGAA
rnacentral:pre_miRNA from 1 species